CAGGUGCAAGAGCUGAGGAAGCUACAGGGAGCCGAGGGUUGACAGCAGGAAGCUACAGGAAGCCACUGGUUGACAGCAAUAAGGCUCACCAGGAAGCAAACACAGGAAUUGGAAAGAGGAAAAAGUUAGCUGGGUGUGUCCCUGGAUCUGGCCCCUUCCCUGUAUGUGAAGCAGACUCUGCCUUCCAUGGAUGCAGCUGGGGAGGCAGACACAAGUUCCUCACCUGCUGUGCAGUGGCUUCAGGACAGAUGAAAGCCUGUCUCUGAUCCAGCUAUGCUUUGUUAGGGUUGUAGUAGUAGCACUUGGGAUACAGACUCAUGAGAACCAGGAGUUCAAGGUCAUCCUCAGCUACCUAUGGAGUUCAAGGUCAGCAGGAGCUAUAUUAUAUCUCAUUUCAAAAAGCCAAAUAUGGAUUCAAGUUAAAAUGAAACUAAAUUGGAAAUCUCAUUGUAUUAGUCAAGGUUCUCUAGAGAACAGAACUGAUAGAGUGAAUAUAUAUUCAUAUUAUG
rnacentral:lncRNA from 1 species